AUGCAUGUCUAAGCAUAAGCCGAUAAAUGGUGAAGCCGCGAAUAGCUCAUUACAACAGCCAUAGUUUAUUGGAUCUUCUCUCUACUUGGAUACCUGUGGUAAUUCUAGAGCUAAUACACGCACGAAAGCCYCGACUUCGGGAGGGGCGCAUUUAUUAGAACAAAACCAAUCGGGCUUGCCCGUCKUUUGGUGAAUCUGAAUAACUCAGUUGAUCGCACAGUCCUCGAACUGGCGACGUAUCUUUCAAGUGUCUGCCUUAUCAACUUUCGAUGGUAGUUUACAUGACUACCAUGGUUGUAACGGGUAACGGAGAAUAAGGGUUCGACUCCGGAGAGGGAGCCUGAGAAACGGCUACCACAUCCAAGGAAGGCAGCAGGCGCGCAAAUUACCCACUCUCAGUACGAGGAGGUAGUGACGAAAAAUAACGAGACGGUUCUCUAUGAGGUCCGUCAUCGGAAUGGGUACAAUUUAAACCCUUUAACGAGGAUCUAUUGGAGGGCAAGUCUGGUGCCAGCAGCCGCGGUAAUUCCAGCUCCAAUAGCGUAUACUAAAGUUGUUGCGGUUAAAAAGCUCGUAGUUGGAUCUGCGGUCUCGCGUGCCGGUGAAUCCUCAGGAUUUUACUGGUUUCGCAGGCCUACCUCGCUGGUUUUCCCUUGGUCCUCUUUACUGAGUGCCCUGGGUGACCAGCAAGUUUACUUUGAAAAAAUUAGAGUGCUCAAAGCAGGCGCGUAGCCUGAAUAGUGGUGCAUGGAAUAAUGGAAUAGGACCUUGGUUCUAUUUUGUUGGUUUUCGGAACGCGAGGUAAUGAUUAAGAGGGACAGACGGGGGCAUUCGUAUUGCUGCGUUAGAGGUGAAAUUCUUGGAUCGCAGCAAGACGGACAASUGCGAAAGCAUUUGCCAAGAAUGUUUUCAUUAAUCAAGAACGAAAGUUAGAG
rnacentral:rRNA from 1 species